rnacentral:tRNA from 1 species
GCGCGAGUGGCGAAAUGGCAGACGCGCUAGCUUCAGGUGCUAGUGUCCGUAAGGACGUGCGGGUUCAAGUCCCGCCUCGCGCA